GUGGAAGCGACGCCAGAUGCUCUCUUCCGCGGGUCCUGCCUUUUUUAUGGCUCUCCUCCGCGAUUCGCUGAUCCAAUACAUUUUACCGUUGAUAAGACUAUAUAUGGGUUAUGGGCGAGAAAGUGGCACCCCCUCAAAGACGUCUGUUCCUUUUUCAAACACUGUGCUGAGACGUAGGCUACAGCCAAGGAAGUCCGUUUGGGGAGUGGGGGUCAGUUUAUGCACAAGGAAGUGAAGGUGGACAACAAAAACAUGAUCUUUGACUGGAAUUGCUAAUUUCAUUCUGCUCACAGGUCCAGGGGAGUCCGUCACAGCUGUCGCACAUGAACAGUGGAGGAGGAACCAGAGACCUGUCCAAACACACUGUGAUUGGCUGCAUGGUAUACUGACGAGGAGGCACACAAAGGUUUCACCGUCCCUCUACCGCUGAUGAAUUUGACUGAAACCUGUUCGAUCACCAUGCACUGCAUGGGGGGAGGGGGGGUACAGACUUCCUACCAAACUCAGUUACCUGAGAGGAAGGAAACCGCUCAGGGAUUUUACCAAUGGUGACUUUAAAACAGUUACAGAGAAAACUGAGGAUUGAUCAAUAACAUUGUAGUUACUCCCAAAAAAUAUUACAAAAGACCUGUUUGCAGAAGGCACUAAAGUAAUACUGCAAAAUUAUGGCAAAGCAAUUAUCUUUUUGUCCUGAAUACAAAGUGUUGUUUGGUGCAAAUCCAAUAGAACACAUUACUGAGUACCACUCUCUAUAUUUUCAAACAUAAUGGCGGCUGCAUCAUGUUAUGGGCAUGCUUGUAAUCUUUAACGACUGUGGAGUUUUUCAGGAUAAAAUGUAACAGAAUGGAGCUAAGCACAGGACAAAUCCUCAAGGAAAAAUCCUAGUGGAAUCCUAGAAUUUUAAAAAGAAUAAUGUGCAAAUGUUGCACAAUCCAGGUGUGGAAAAAGCUCUUAGAGACUCACAGCUGUAAUCGCUGCCAAAGGUGCUGCAACAAAGUUUUGCGAAUACUUUCAUUUAAUUUUCAAUAAAUGUUCAAUAAUUUCUAAAAACAUGUUUUCACUUUGCCAUUAUGGGGUAUUGUGUAUAGAUGGGUGAGAAAAUAAGACUAACAUAACAAAAUGUGGAAUAAGUCAAGGGGUAUGAAUACUUUCUGAAAGCACUGUAUGUACUUUGAAGCAGACUAAAGCAUUAGAUAAAUAGUUUGCAGUGAUCACUAAUGUUCUCCCUGGGGUGUCUGCCCAUCUCAUGUUAUGGCAGGCAGCUGUCAUUCUCUUGUUAGCCUGGGUUUUACUGGCACAGGCACAGCAUGCCGCUCAUACACACAGA